UACGGAGGAUCCAAGCGUUAUCCGGAAUCAUUGGGUUUAAAGGGUCCGUAGGCGGUUUGGUAAGUCAGUGGUGAAAGCCCAUCGCUCAACGGUGGAACGGCCAUUGAUACUGCCAGACUUGAAUUAUUAGGAAGUAACUAGAAUAUGUAGUGUAGCGGUGAAAUGCUUAGAGAUUACAUGGAAUACCAAUUGCGAAGGCAGGUUACUACUAAUGGAUUGACGCUGAUGGACGAAAGCGUGGGUAGCGAACAGGAUUAGAACCGGUACCG
rnacentral:rRNA from 1 species